rnacentral:rRNA from 1 species
AGUUGGUGGAGUGAUUUGUCUGGUUAAUUCCGUUAACGAACGAGACCGCUGCCUGCUAAAUAGUUGGAUGAGUGUUUUGACACUGAUUGCAGCUUCUUAGAGGGACAUGGAUUAUCAAAAUCCAGGAAGAUAGCGGCAAUAACAGGU